rnacentral:rRNA from 1 species
UACGGGGGGAGCAAGCGUUGUUCGGAUUUACUGGGCGUAAAGGGCGCGUAGGCGGUCAGCACAAGUCAGUUGUGAAAUCUCCGGGCUUAACUCGGAAAGGUCAACUGAUACUGUGCGACUAGAGUGCGGAAGGGGCAACUGGAAUUCUCGGUGUAGCGGUGAAAUGCGCAGAUAUCGGGAGGAACACCUAUGGCGAAGGCAGGUCUCUGGGCCAUUACUGACGCUGAGAAGCGAAAGCAUGGGGAGCGAACAGG